rnacentral:rRNA from 1 species
UACGUAGGGGGCAAGCGUUGUCCGGAUUCAUUGGGCGUAAAGGGUGCGUAGGCGGCGCGGUAAGUCGGGUGUGAAAUCUCGGAGCUUAACUCCGAAACUGCAUUCGAUACUGCCGUGCUUGAGGACUGGAGAGGAGACUGGAAUUUACGGUGUAGCGGUGAAAUGCGUAGAUAUCGUAAGGAAGACCAGUGGCGAAGGCGGGGUCUCUGGACAGUUCCUGACGCUGAGGCACGAAGGCCAGGGGAGCAAACGGG